CAUCUUCCUAGCUAGCGAUCACAUGGCAAACACGGUCUACUUUGUCUCUCUUUUCCUUGUCUUCAACAUGAUAAUUUUCUUUCCGCCGCCUUCAAAUGCUAUCUCUUCAUGCAACGGCCCAUGCAGGACUGAAAAUGAUUGUUCCGGCCAACUCAUUUGCGUCAAUGGCAAAUGCAACGACGACCCAGAAGUUGGAACCCACACUUGCUCAGGAAGCAACCCUGCGCCGCCUUCAAACGGUGAUUGCAAGCCGUACGGAACCCUUAGAUGCAACGGAAAAUCAUACCCCAAGUACUCAUGUUCUCCACCAGUCACUUCCUCAACAAAGGCUAGUCUAACUCUGAAUGAUUUCAGUAAAGGCGGCGAUGGUGGUGGUCCAUCUGAGUGUGACGAUAAGUACCACGAGAAGACAGAGCGUGUGGUGGCGCUUUCGACUGGGUGGUAUGCCGGAGGAACAAGGUGUGGGAAGAUGGUAAGAAUUACAGCUGGAAAUGGAAGGAGUGUGUUAGCAAAAGUGGUUGAUGAAUGUGACUCGAGGAAUGGGUGCGACAGUGAACAUGCAGGGCAGCCACCUUGUCACAAUAACAUUGUAGAUGGGUCUGAUGCGGUUUGGGAAGCUCUGGGCCUGAAUAAAGAUUUGGGUGUUGUGGAUGUUACUUGGUCAAUGGCCUAGCUAGUUAAGGACUCGUUUGGUUAGUUUAACUACGAAAUGAUGACCCCACCUUGAAAUUACUUUCUCGUUAGGUUGUCAUUUAGUUCCAAUAAAAGAAGAAAGAAGAAGAAUAAAACGACAAUCAAGUUAAUGUUGUCUAGCUUGCAUAUUUACAUCUCAAUCUAAAUAGUGAAGGAUGAAGUGACCUUAUGUAUGAUCAUAUGCAAGUUAUUACAAUGAGGACUUUAAAUAUUAAAAU
rnacentral:misc_RNA from 1 species